AUUCCACGUCCCCACUGCUGUCCAUCAACGUGGCACAACAAGCCCCGCCCACCGGCGCGACGACUUCCGGUUGCAACUCCCCACCCCCCUCAGGCGACGUCUAGUUCCGGCGGAAAACCUCAGUUCUGUACUGGGGUUCAGUGACCUACGAGGAGCUAGAGAAAGCAUUCGUCGAGGUUAAGCGCGGGAGAUCUGUCAGAACAGUGCCAAAAGAAAGAAAGAUCGGCAGGUCCACCCUGCAGCGCUACAUGAAGAAGGCAGAGGGAAAAAGAGAGAAAACGGUCGGCUGAAGCCAAGAGGAUCUUAUCUGAGGAGCUUGCAGAACACAUCCGGAUGCUGGCUGAACACUGCUAGGCCUCUCACUCCCAAGAGAUGCAGAGAAAUCACUUUUGAAUUGGCACAGAAGAACAACACUUCCGUCCCCAGCAACUGGGGAGAGCAGAGGUUAGGAGGUCGAGAUAGCUCAGUAGUUUCAUAGUCCGGCCGUCACAAUCUCUACAACCACAGAACUGAAGCAGCAUCUUUGGGAAGCCAUGGACAGCUCACCAGUUUCAGCCUCAUCAAGAAAGAGAUCAACGAGGAGCGUGAUGUUCCUGUCCCGGUUCAACACGCUUCAGAGGAAGACCGCGCUCUGAUUUGUGAUUUAGACCGAGACCUCUUAGUUACUGACUUAUUACUGACAUGAUGUUAUAUGAUGAAGCACAAUAUAAAAAAAGACAUUUUGAUGCUUAAUUGUGUUUCCUGUUUGUUUUGGGAUAUCUUUGAGAAAAUAAGUACUUUGAAAUUAUUUGAAAUGAGGUCACACAUUAAAUUAUCAUUAUUAUUCAAAAUUCUGUUCAUGCUGUUACUGAUAUAAAUCACUCAAUGUUUUCUUCUCAAGAUAAUGCAACAAAAUUGUUUACAUAAAAAUGUGAAUUCAUAUAUGUAUUUAUUUAUUUAUUUGUAUAUUUCUGGUAGAGCACAGCAUUUUUUUUAAUGCCAAUAUGGAUAAACCUUCAAGCCUAUAAUGAUUGUUAAUGAAAAAAAUCUAAAAUCAUACCGUGCAUAAAAUUGUGUUAGAAGAUAUGAAAUAUGGUGCAUUCAGAAAGUAUUCAGACCCCUUCAUUUUAUCACAGUUUAUAUUUUUUCACAUCAGUAUACACUGUAUAC